rnacentral:rRNA from 1 species
UACGUAGGGUGCAAGCGUUAAUCGGAAUUACUGGGCGUAAAGCGUGCGCAGGCGGUUUUGUAAGACAGGCGUGAAAUCCCCGGGCUUAACCUGGGAACUGCGCUUGUGACUGCAAGGCUAGAGUAUGGCAGAGGGGGGUGGAAUUCCACGUGUAGCAGUGAAAUGCGUAGAGAUGUGGAGGAACACCGAUGGCGAAGGCAGCCCCCUGGGCCAAUACUGACGCUCAUGCACGAAAGCGUGGGUAGCAAACAGG